GUAUCGAUGACGACACCCUCAAUGCAUUCCUUGGAAGCUGAACAACACGAGUGAGAACUCUACACUGUCUUAUCUCAUCGAGCUGAGGUCC
ensembl:snoRNA SNORD116 Small nucleolar RNA SNORD116